AUGACUAACCUCUGUUUGGUGGUGCAGGAGGAGAAAAUGAAGCGGCCGCUCUCACACAUGCAGGCGUGGGAGAUCGCCCAUACGCGGAAGGACUCCAAGCCUGGCGAGCCCAAGUACUACGGCAAGAAGACCGUGGGGAGGAAGAAGGCCUACUCCGAAGCGUAUCUGAAGUUACAUCCUGACACACCUGACCCCAUUGCGGCGAAUCUGGACGAGAGGGCGGUGGUGAGCAUGGGGCCCAAGGAGCACGGUCGGGAGGCGGUUCUCGAUGCUGUGAUCACUCCUACUAUCUCCUACACACAGCUCCGUCGGAUCGACCCGAUCCUGAGCCAGCGCACGAGCCAGCCAGUGACCAGUGCACAGUCCCUCUUUCAGGAGCAACAAUCUGUAAGUAUUUUCCCUCUUAUCUUCAUUGCUCACUUUAUUUUCCGCAUUUAG
rnacentral:rRNA from 1 species